rnacentral:rRNA from 1 species
ACCCCAACAGCUAGCCCAACCCCAAAAACCAACAACCCCUAUUAAUAACCCCACACCAACAAAACACUAAUAAAUAAACCAUUCUUCCUCCCAAGUAUAUGCGACAGAAAAGGAAUUUAGGCGCAAUAGAUGAAGUACCGCAAGGGAAAGCUGAAAGAGAAAUGAAAGAAUCCAGUAAAGGAAAAGAAAGCAGAGCCAAAACCUCGUACCUUU